UUGAACCUUGAUUUUGUGCGUACGCCAACCGGAUUUUUGAUGCCUCUUUUCCCCUCCUUUUUAAUGUGUAAGAAAGAAGAAUAAACUCUCGAUUUAUCAUGUAAAAUUGGGCACAAAUCAGAUUGGGGUGGGUGUCUUAAAAUUCCAAGAGUCCAUGGAUGUUUGGACUCUAUCUCCUACUCAAUUUAGAACUCAUCUUUUGGUCUAUUUAAACCCACCCUUGGGACA
rnacentral:lncRNA from 1 species